rnacentral:rRNA from 1 species
GAUGAACGCUGGCGGCGUGCCUAAUACAUGCAAGUCGAGCGAAUGGAUUAAGAGCUUGCUCUUAUGAAGUUAGCGGCGGACGGGUGAGUAACACGUGGGUAACCUGCCCAUAAGACUGGGAUAACUCCGGGAAACCGGGGCUAAUACCGGAUAACAUUUUGAACCGCAUGGUUCGAAAUUGAAAGGCGGCUUCGGCUGUCACUUAUGGAUGGACCCGCGUCGCAUUAGCUAGUUGGUGAGGUAAUAGCUUACCAAGGCAAUGACGGGUAGCCGACCUGAAAGGGUGACCGGCCACAAUGGCACUGGGACACGGGCCAUACUCCUACGGGAGGCAGCAGUGGGGAAUUUUGGACAAUGGGGGCAACCCUGAUCCAGCGACGCCGCGUGGAGGAUUGAAGGUCUUCGGAUUGUAAACUCCUUUUAGAGGGGACGAAUGUACGGUGUGUAACAACAUCGUAUUGACUGUACCCUCAGAAUAAGUCACGGCUAACUACGUGCCAGCAGCCGCCGUAA